AUCUUCCUAGUAUUAAAGCUAGUACAAGUGCCUUCCAAGCACCCAGUCUUGGUUAAACUCCAAGGGAUGAUA
rnacentral:tRNA from 1 species